GACCUCCUUUUAAACCAUUAGGAAAGAAGGAGAAACAGAUUAGGAGAACAUCUAUAUACAUUUGCUCUUCAUAAUGUACUUUUGUUAUGACAGCAUCACCAGUUUUUGAAAACACCUUCUAAAAAACUUAAACAUGCCACACUGGACUGCUGCAGGGUAAACACCUAUGAGAAGUGUAUUGUUCAAGAAAUUACUGAUAGAAUCAGAAUAUCCCACAGUGUUUACCAACAAACCACACCCACACAAACACAUCACAAAACCAGGGAGAACUUUGGGUUUUCAUUAACACUAAAAAUUCUGUGUGACUUUAGGAAAGCGACCUGAAUACAUAAACCAUGUGACAUGCACUGAAUUUGUAAAUAACAUGACAAGGGUAACAGCUGAUGAAUUUACAAACCAUGUCUGUACCUGACUUGCAAGACUAAGGUACCAUUUGCUCCUGGCCAUUUUCCUAAAACUGAGCAAUUUCAAACAACACAAGUAUGGACAUCCUGCUGUUUCCAGCAGAGAUUUUUAGCUUACAAAGAAAAGCUGAAGAAAAAUAUUUGCAAUACUAAAACCCCCCCCUAAGAUCAGCAGGAGAUAUUUCCAGCAUCUCAUGUGUCCAAAUUCCUGAAAUAAAGUGGUUCUUUACAAACAUCAGUCAUACGUAUUUCAAGCACUCUGAAACGAAGCUUGAUUGUCUUCUGGCUGUUGUAAGAAAGUGACUUUACUUCUGCAGCAGAAUCAUUUUCAACAGGAGGCAAGACUCUUCUCUCCCUCCCUCACACUGUAAGAGGGGUUCAAGAAGACUUCAUGCAAGAACUGCUACUAUGUGUCUGGCACUUCAUCUAUUACUGUUUUUCUCAGGCGCCAGAAUUACAGAGUCCAUAUUUAAACGGGAUUUGUUUAAAAAGCAGCAUCUAAGAAAACAGUUGUUUUACUGACAUUUGUAUUAUUACAGGGUAACAAUUUUCCACUGAUAACUCUAAAGGGAUUCAAAGGAAUAGCAUAGAUGUUGUAAUGUGUGACUACUUCCUUUAUUCUAAAGACAGCUACCAUAAGUCAUUUAAGAAAAAGUAAUAAAAAUAUUUGUAUGCUAACUGAUAAUCACGUACAUCAACUUAAAUAUAAAUGGAAAGUACAUUCCUGCAGUUGAUUAUUUAAUAUUAAUUGUCUCUGCCUAAUUUGUAAAGCAUAGAAAAAUGUAUAGGGAGUCCUACUAGGAAACUUCUGCAGUCACUUCUGUACAGUCUUAUUACUCAGGUAUGCAACUAAGGAGAAAUUCAAAGUACACAAAUCAGCAGCUGCCAUGAAAUCAAUUGCUAAGAUACAAAACUGCAAGAGAAAGCAAAGAGAGUAAAGGAGAGUUACCAUCCCGAUCUGCCAUGCUGUCGAAGAAAAGCCAGGCGGAGUCGUCCCUGCCGUACUUGACAAAGGCCACGUAGUGGCUGGUCUCGAUGCACAGCACUGCAAACAGCUCCAUCUUCUGUGAUGGGAUGCAGCCGUGCCGCCAGUCCCAGUCGGGCAGAUCCUUCGGAAGUGACAACGGAUUGAAUUUAUGACUCUGUCUCUUGGGAUGAAGAUGAACCUACAAUUGAAGUGAUAUUUCAGAAAAGAAAAAACACCCUGUAAGAUUAUUUGUUUUGGUGGCAGACAAAGCUAAAAAGGACAUUACUGCUGAAGAGAAGAUUAAUGGUGUUAGAGAAGGAACUGCAAUAACAGCAGCUGACUAAACGUUUCUUUUAUUUUUUUCCCCACCAGUGUAGUUCAAUAUUGCUCAGAAAAUUCAAAUCUAAGAUUAGAAGGCAGAUCAGGUUUAAUGCAAGUUUUCUACUAUGCUCAGAUUUGAGAACAAGCCAUGACUGACAUCUUCAUGCAAUUGCAAAACAACAAAACAUAGCAUUUCUGUAAUGAAUUUAUCAACUCUAAAAAGGUAGCAUGGAUAGAAAAUUGAAUUUAAAACACAUGGCUACUACUUCUCCAUUGUGUCCAGUCUGGGAUUUGGCAGUUGCCAUGCUGAUAAACACACUGCAGGAGCUCCUGAUCUGUCACCAAAAGAGACACUUUACUUGGUGGGUGGCAGCUACACUGGUGCUGGUGAAGAAGUCUCACUAUCUCUUCUGCCUCUCUUUCAAUUACCACAGCAUUGACCAUUUGCGUAAAACCCAUGUAAAUACCAAAGACAAGCACUGACCUGUGUAUUGCACGUUUUGCAGAAUUGCUUGAUUUUGCCAGCAGAAAUAUCAGUGUCUUCAUAACACUCCCUGCACUCGUACAUAGCGAGCCCUCUGCAGAUGCGGCACUGCCUGGGAGCUGCAGUGGCAACAAAGGCAUUAGUCUCCAGGCUGGGGAGGCUUUGUUUUUUAACAGAAGGAAUAUGAAAAUGAAGGAGAACUAUUACUUUAAAUGGAGAACAACACUACAUAAAAAAAAAAAAAAGUUAAAAUGAGAUUGCUAAUCAAAGAGAAAUGAACCACUCUAUUUAACUUCUCUUUGGUACAAUGUGGAUUAAGAGAAAAACAUUUACACAGUAAGUGACAAAACAAGAUGAUAAAAAUCAAUUGCAUGAACAAGCAAAAACAGGCUUUUAAAUCAUAUUGGCUCUCUCUCAUCAUAGUGGUCUUAGCUCCUACAGCUGUCAACACCAGAAAAAAAAAAGAAAGAAAAAAGCAUAAGCUGAUGGCCAAUACGGUGAGAGAAAAGGCCA